UGGGGAAUAUUGGACAAUGGGCGAAAGCCUGAUCCAGCCAUGCCGCGUGAGUGAUGAAGGCCCUAGGGUUGUAAAGCUCUUUCAACGGUGAAGAUAAUGACGGUAACCGUAGAAGAAGCCCCGGCUAACUUCGUGCC
rnacentral:rRNA from 1 species